rnacentral:tRNA from 1 species
GGGCGAUUGGCGCAGUGGUAGCGCGUUUCCUUGACACGGAAGAGGUCGCUGGUUCGAUCCCAGUAUCGCCCACCA